rnacentral:tRNA from 1 species
GGGCGGGUGGUGGAACGGCAGACACGCCAGGUUUAGGACCUGGUCCCGCAAGGGGUGAGGGUUCGAGUCCCUCCCCGCCCA